UAGAGGAAGUAAAAGUCGUAACAAGGUCUCCGUUGGUGAACCAGCGGAGGGAUCAUUACUGAGUUUUUAACUCUUAAACCAUAUGUGAACAUACCUUUUUAGCUGCUUUGGCAGGCUUGGUAAAAACAAGUCUGCCGGUAGUAUUUAAAAAAACUCUUUAAUAUUUCUAGAGAAUUUAUUUUCAUUGCUGAGUGGCAUUAAACAUAAUAAGUUAAAACUUUCAACAACGGAUCUCUUGGCUCUAGCAUCGAUGAAGAACGCAGCGAAAUGCGAUACGUAAUGUGAAUUGCAGAAUUCAGUGAAUCAUCGAAUCUUUGAACGCACAUUGCGCCUGGCAGUAUUCUGCCAGGCAUGCCUGUCCGAGCGUCAUUUCACCACUCAAGCUCUGCUUGGUGUUGGAGGACCCGCAUCUUUUUGCGGGCCGCCGAAAUGCAUCGGCUGUUAUAUUUGCAGCUUCCCUGUGUAGUAAUAUUUAUUUUACGCUUUGAAACUCUUUUACAACAUGCCGUAAAAACCCCAAUUAAAUUAAUUUUUAAUUUUUGAAAGGUUGACCUCGGAUCAGGUAGGAAUACCCGCUGAACUUAAGCAUAUCA
rnacentral:rRNA from 1 species